AUUGAACGCUGGCGGCAUGCCUUACACAUGCAAGUCGAACGGCAGCACGGGAGCAAUCCUGGUGGCGAGUGGCGAACGGGUGAGUAAUAUAUCGGAACGUGCCCAGUCGUGGGGGAUAACGUAGCGAAAGCUAUGCUAAUACCGCAUACGAUCUAUGGAUGAAAGCGGGGGAUCGCAGGACCUUGCGCGAUUGGAUCGGCCGAUAGCAGAUUAGGUAGUUGGUGAGGUAAAGGCUCACCAAGCCGACGACCUGUAGCUGGUCUGAGAGGACGACCAGCCACACUGGGACUGAGACGCGGCCCAGACUCCUACGGGAGGCAGCAGUGGGGAAUUUUGGACAAUGGGCGCAAGCCUGAUCCAGCAAUGCCGCGUGCAGGAUGAAGGCCUUCGGGUUGUAAACUGCUUUUGUACGGAACGAAACGGCGAGCUCUAAUACAGUUUGCUAAUGACGGUACCGUAAGAAUAAGCACCGGCUAACUACGUGCCAGCCGCCGCAGUAA
rnacentral:rRNA from 1 species